ACCUGGCUGGCUCAGUGGGUAGAACGUGAGACUCUUGAUCUCAGAGUUGUGAAUUCGAGCCCCACAUCGGGUG
rnacentral:tRNA from 1 species